rnacentral:misc_RNA from 1 species
UUUCCGUAGGUGAACCUGCGGAAGGAUCAUUCAUAAUAAAGUGUUUUAUGGCACUUUUAAAAAAUCCAUAUCCACCUUGUGUGCAAUGUUAGAUCUCGUCAAUCUUGGCGAGAUUUUUAUACAUCAACUCAUUCUUUAACUAAUUUGUCUGAAAAAUAUUAUGAAUACUUAAUUCAAAAUACAGCUUUCAACAACGGAUCUCUUGGCUCUC